UACGAAGGGGGCUAGCUUUGCUCGGAAUCACUGGGCGUAAAGCGCACGUAGGCGGAUUGCUAAGUCAGGGGUGAAAUCCUGGAGCUCAACUCCAGAACUGCCUUUGAUACUGGCGAUCUCGAGUCCGGGAGAGGUGAGUGGAACUGCGAGUGUAGAGGUGAAAUUCGUAGAUAUUCGGAAGAACACCAGUGGCGAAGGCGGCUCACUGGACAUGUAUUGACGCUGAGGUGCGAAAGCGUGGGGAGCAAACAGG
rnacentral:rRNA from 1 species